GAUGAACGCUGGCGGCGUGCCUAAUACAUGCAAGUCGAGCGAACGGACGAGAAGCUUGCUUCUCUGAUGUUAGCGGCGGACGGGUGAGUAACACGUGGAUAACCUACCUAUAAGACUGGGAUAACUUCGGGAAACCGGAGCUAAUACCGGAUAAUAUUUUGAACCGCAUGGUUCAAAAGUGAAAGACGGUCUUGCUGUCACUUAUAGAUGGAUCCGCGCUGCAUUAGCUAGUUGGUAAGGUAACGGCUUACCAAGGCAACGAUGCAUAGCCGACCUGAGAGGGUGAUCGGCCACACUGGAACUGAGACACGGUCCAGACUCCUACGGGAGGCAGCAGUAGGGAAUCUUCCGCAAUGGGCGAAAGCCUGACGGAGCAACGCCGCGUGAGUGAUGAAGGUCUUCGGAUCGUAAAACUCUGUUAUUAGGGAAGAACAUAUGUGUAAGUAACUGUGCACAUCUUGACGGUACCUAAUCAGAAAGCCACGGCUAACUACGUGCCAGCAGCCGCGGUAAUACGUAGGUGGCAAGCGUUAUCCGGAAUUAUUGGGCGUAAAGCGCGCGUAGGCGGUUUUUUAAGUCUGAUGUGAAAGCCCACGGCUCAACCGUGGAGGGUCAUUGGAAACUGGAAAACUUGAGUGCAGAAGAGGAAAGUGGAAUUCCAUGUGUAGCGGUGAAAUGCGCAGAGAUAUGGAGGAACACCAGUGGCGAAGGCGACUUUCUGGUCUGUAACUGACGCUGAUGUGCGAAAGCGUGGGGAUCAAACAGGAUUAGAUACCCCGGUAGUCCACGCCGUAAACGAUGAGUGCUAAGUGUUAGGGGGUUUCCGCCCCUUAGUGCUGCAGCUAACGCAUUAAGCACUCCGCCUGGGGAGUACGACCGCAAGGUUGAAACUCAAAGGAAUUGACGGGGACCCGCACAAGCGGUGGAGCAUGUGGUUUAAUUCGAAGCAACGCGAAGAACCUUACCAAAUCUUGACAUCCUUUGACAACUCUAGAGAUAGAGCCUUCCCCUUCGGGGGACAAAGUGACAGGUGGUGCAUGGUUGUCGUCAGCUCGUGUCGUGAGAUGUUGGGUUAAGUCCCGCAACGAGCGCAACCCUUAAGCUUAGUUGCCAUCAUUAAGUUGGGCACUCUAAGUUGACUGCCGGUGACAAACCGGAGGAAGGUGGGGAUGACGUCAAAUCAUCAUGCCCCUUAUGAUUUGGGCUACACACGUGCUACAAUGGACAAUANCAAGGGCAGCGAAACCGCGAGGUCAAGCAAAUCCCAUAAAGUUGUUCUCAGUUCGGAUUGUAGUCUGCAACUCGACUACAUGAAGCUGGAAUCGCUAGNUAUCGUAGAUCAGCAUGCUACGGUGGAUACGUUCCCGGGUC
rnacentral:rRNA from 1 species